GCCCCCCGCGCGGCCGCGCCGACGCGCCGUCGGCCAGUCGGCCCGUUUCGUUUCGCCCUAGCCUCCCGUCCUGCCGGCUGCCCGCUACCGUCGCCCCGCCGGCCGCCGGUCGCCGUCUCGCCCCCGGCGCUCGUCGCCCCCGGGGCCCGCGCGCGCCGCGCCCAGGCCGCGCUCGCGCAGAGACCAGGCUCCGGCCGCCUGCCGCGCUCGCACAGGGGCCAGGCUCCGGCCGUCUUCCGCGCGCCCACGCCGCGCAGGGGUGUGCCGCUGAGUUGCGCAGGGCCCCCGUGCACGCGCCGUCGCUCACACACAGAGCAGGAAGCCAGCCAGAGGCGGCAACGCGACGGCCGUAUGACCGCAGCGACCGCCGAGGCACCGACCGGCGACCAGGCAGAGGGUAUCGUCCUCAAACCAAGCCAGUGAAGUGGACCAAGCAAUGCAGGGAGGAUUUUUUUUUCUGAAACUUGAAUACUUGUAAUUUGUAGGUCCGAACUUUGGGCUGUCAAAAUUUUUUUUACACCAUUUGAAAUUGAAAAUUUCAAUACCCACCUCCCAAAUCCUGAGCCUGCCCCUGCCAUGGAGGACGCCCUCGCUGCAUCUCCCGUGGCGCCUCCUCCUGCACCCCUCGCAGCCGCUGCUGUCCUGACUCGCCGGCGGUCGCACCUCGACAGCGCCUCCUACCGCACGCUCUCCCGCCUCUUCUCCCACUGCCUCCACCUCCAGCCUUCGUCCCGAGUGGGCACCGCACCGACCGAGGGUGGGCCCGCCGUCGCGAAGCCUACUGGCGAGCACUCCGGUGAUUCCGCACAGGUGCCGGAAGGCGCCGAUUUUGAUCAGCUCAAGGAUUUGGAGAAAGAGACCGUCUCACCAGCGAGGGAGCAACUGGCCGCGGCGAACCCUACCGGCAACCCUUGUGAAGCCGAGGCUCCACAACGCUCGCAUGAUGAUUUGGACGAGGUAGUUGCUGUAGAAAGCACCUGUGGUACUGGUAACACCAGUGCCGUGGUUGAGAAGUUAGGGAUUGGAGCUGGAACGGUGGUGGUGGAGGAUGAUGCUCUGCAGUUGGUGAAGGCUUGCUUGGAGACUACUGAGGUUAACGAAUCAUUAGAGGGAGCAUUGGGUAAUGACGAUGGGCAGCUGCUUCUUGACGCAAUGUUGACCAACUUCACUGGGCUGAUUGAUGAUGUUGGUGCUGGCGUGAUACCAGUGGAGACUUGUGUGGUUUCCGGAGGUGAGCUGCAGAAUAGCAAAGCAUCUGAGGAUUUGAAACAAUCAGGAGGUAGGAUUGAAGAUGUAGAACCUGUGAGCAAUUUAAAUCGUGAGCUGAACAUAGAUGGUGGUUUCGAGGAAGGAGAGAUUGAGGGUGAGCUUCAGGAUUUGGAUUCAGAAGAAUCUGGAGAUUCUGAGCUUGUCGAUGAUGAUAAUGCUGAAGAUGAGAAUUUGGGAGGCGAUUCCGUUAGCAAGGGCUCAGGGGCUUGUGACCAUGGCAUACAGUCUGUAAAUUUGCACUCGAAACCUGAAAUUGUAGGAAAUGGUCAUCUUACACUGAACAAGGAUGCUAAUGUCAGGGGUGAUGAACAAAUAUCUGUUACCAGGGCUCAAGCUGUCAGUUAUGAUGAAGUUGUGGAUUGGAAUGAGACGCCGCUGCCUGGCAAUGAGGCUACCAACCCUGGAAAGAAGAGAAAACACUCUUUGACAGAAGAGAGGAAGGCUAAAAAGACAGAAAAUAAAAGGAAGAAGCGAGCAAAACAACGGAUAGCUGAUGGAGUAAAAAGACCAAAACUUCAACAUGUUACUAAGCCAAAAAAACCUUGCCACUUCUAUGACCAUGGGAAGUGCCAGCAGGGAAGUAAGUGCAAGUUCUCCCAUGAUUUUACACCAUCAACAAAAUCUAAGCCCUGCAAGCAUUUUGCUUGUGGUUCUUGUUUGAAAGGAGAUGAUUGUCCAUAUGAUCAUGAGUUGUCAAACUAUGAAUGCCAUAACUAUAAGAACACUGGCAUGUGCAUCAGAGGUGAUAGAUGCAAAUUCUCUCAUGUGAUGCGAACUACGGAAGGUACUCCUACACAAGAUGCAAAGCCAUCUGAUGCUUCACUGGCAUUUGAGAAAACCAACUGCAGAGAGCAUACAAGCGGCCAGAAAACCUCAACAGUUCACAGUGGCGAACCUGUGACAUCUGCUUCUACCAAACAACAGUGUUCCGUCCUGAAAAAUCUGGCUGGCUUCUCUAUCAAUUCUCAAAACGUGUCUAAUCGUAUUCCAAAGGGCGUGCAGUUUCUUCCGUUUGAUAAAAGUGGAUCAAAUUUGAGCAGCCCGCACCUGGAUGCUUUGUCCAUUGAGAAGCCUAGGAAUGCUAAUGCCACUCAACAUCAGUACAUUGGAGGACAUGAAGCAGAAAAGCAAAAAAUUGCCAAGAAAAAUGAUCAGGAAUCACUGCUAGAUGAGAAGAAUUCAUCAAAUGAAGCUACUAUGCCUCCAUUUUCAGACCCAAAAAAAGCUAGUUUACCUAUUAGUUCUGCCGCAACAUCAGUACAUACUCAGCCUGAAAUCUCAGAGGCCUCUAGGAUUUUGCAGGAGUUCUUGUUCGGUGCUGGCAGUUAGAGGAAAAUGUCUUGGAAAAGUUGAACUCCAAUUCACGAGGUAGCGCAAUGGGACUUGAUGUGUCAUAUUUUGGUUCCUAACAGGGACUGUUUUGUGAGGCACCUCUCCUGUCAGGGAGCCCAGAUUCCUCCAUGCUAGAGCUUUGCGUUGGUUGCCACAUGAGAAUGGCAGGCAGCUACCAGGGCUGCGAAUUAGUCUUGGAUCAUCAUCAUGAUUCUCCCAGCACAUCUGUGGCAGAGAAUUAUGGGUCCUUUGGUGGCGACCAACAUUAGCCUGGUGCAGUGCAUGGUCUGGAGUUGCAUUCAUGCGGUACUCCCGGGGAUAUCCAAUCCUAUCUCUUGUGUUCAGAGUUACUUGUGAACUAGCUGGAGACCAUGGUACACCACGGCAGAUGCUGGAGGGGCCCAGGCAUGAGCUGGACUGUGGCUGUUGCUUAGUCUCAAACCGGGUUCGGGCAUGUCCGGUGCCUACUUGCUGUCGAAAUCUCUGCUGAUGUUGCAUCGAUUCAGAAUUACAUUCACAUGGUCACUGGGAGGGCUCACAUGCUGAUUCAUCACUGCAGCUUGCCAUGCAAGCAGGCAUGUCCGCAUGUGAGCUGUAUCCCUCUACUCCUGCUGGGCUUGCUGCCACAUGACCAGAUGACUGAUGCUAUAUCACGGGAACAGUUGGGUGUGUUCUGUGGAUCGUAUGAUGGUGUCGUCUCUCUCGGUUUUGAACAAAGGUUGUGUCAUCUCUCUCGGAACAAAUUGCCAUCAGCAGUAAAUCCGCAUCUUGAGUUCUGUUUUCAUGUUGCUGACUCGUGCGCAUGGAAGGAGUGGUUUAGGCGUACUAGUAAUUGACACAUGAUCUGUUACCACUUACCAAGAAUCUGAGCUGAGGUAAGCCAUGGUAUGUUACCUUGAUGGCAGAGAAUUACUGUUACCUCCUGAAAGCAACUGACUCGGCAUUAUGGUUUGGGCGACUUGUGCACCUGAACAUGUGUCCUUGUUUCGUGUCACAGCAACUGGAUAAGCUGAUUCAGGUGUCGACGAGGCAGUGAGAGAUCCUCGUCUCUGAGAAAGUGAGGGCAGCUACUCUGUCGCUUUCCCUGGCUACUUGGUGAAGAAUUCUCGUUUACAAGUUUGUGAAGGAGCCCUUUUCUCACCUUCAAACACGCACGCCGGAGAAGCUGAGCUGAGCUCAGCUCAUCUGCGGCUGCUGCACACACGCAUCGAGCUCCGAAACAAAAUGUUUCCAUAUGUAGCUAGGAAGUGUAACUCCACUAGAAUUUCAAGCCGAGACAAAGCUAGCUGCCUCCUUCAAAAUUUCAUCAUAUUUGGCAGUUACCUUCCUUUUGAUCUUACGCUGCCACCAGUUGAGGCAGGUUGAUCGUCUUGUGUGUAAUCCUUUUCCUUUCUCUCUCUCACCAGUCAACAGUGGACUCAACCGGUAGGUUGGUAGACGAGAGCACAUGCUCUAGCAGUCUGGCUUCCUCA